rnacentral:rRNA from 1 species
AGCAGCCGCGGUAAUUCCAGCUCCAAUGGCGUAUAUUAAAGUUGUUGCAGUUAAAAAGCUCGUAGUUGAAUUUCGGGAUUGACACAUCGGUCGUGCCUUAAGGGGUAUGAACUGGUGUAGUCAAUUUCUCACCUUCUGGGGAACCGCGAUGUCCUUAGUUGGGUGCCGCGAGGAACCAGGACCUUUACUUUGAAAAAAUUAGAGUGUUUAAAGCAGGCAUUUUUGCUUGAAUACAUUAGCAUGGAAUAAUAAAAUAGGACGGCAUGAUUCUAUUUUGUUGGUUUCUAGGAUCACCGUAAUGAUUAAUAGGGAUAGUUGGGGGCAUUAGUAUUCAAUUGUCAGAGGUGAAAUUCUUGGAUUUAUUGAAGACUAACUACUGCGAAAGCAUUUGCCAAGGAUGUUUUCAUUAAUCAAGAACGAAAGUUAGGGGAUCGAAGACGAUCAGAUACCGUCGUAGUCUUAACCAUAAACUAUGCCGACUAGGAAUCAGACGAUGUUAAUUUUUUAAUGACUCGUUUGGCACCUUACG